CUGAUACAGUGAUGAUAACAUAGUUCAGCAGACUCAUGCUGAUGAACAAGCACAAGUCUUUCGCUCCUAUCUGAUGUAUCUG
ensembl:snoRNA